UACGAAGGGGGCUAGCGUUGCUCGGAAUCACUGGGCGUAAAGGGUGCGUAGGCGGGUUUUUAAGUCAGAGGUGAAAUCCUGGAGCUCAACUCCAGAACUGCCUUUGAUACUGAAAGUCUUGAGUAUGGGAGAGGUGAGUGGAAUUGCGAGUGUAGAGGUGAAAUUCGUAGAUAUUCGCAAGAACACCAGUGGCGAAGGCGGCUCACUGGCCCAUAACUGACGCUGAGGCACGAAAGCGUGGGGAGCAAACAGG
rnacentral:rRNA from 1 species